UAGAAUGCUCGUAUGGCUAGAGUACAAGAGAACCAUAGGUGAUUGGAACAUCGAAGUCGACUGGAUUAGCAACAUUGCAAAAAGGAAAAACGGGCAUGCUGAAAUAACGACCAGUGUGUUUGGAAUGUUAGUGUAUUGUUUGUGGCGGGAAAGGAAUAAGAUUAUAUUCCAAGGCAGGAUUUCGGUUGUAAAGGAUACAUGUAAAGAGAUAGCGAUUCAUGUGCACAUUCAGGGAAACUCGCUUAAACACCGGAAAGAAGCUUUGCAAAGACAGGAUCAUUUCCCGUAGAAGUAAGAAGAAAAACUCAACAUGCUUAUGAUUAAAUGUAUUGGAACAUAAAGCAGUUUUUCCUUCUAGACUGUUUGUAACAGUAGC
rnacentral:lncRNA from 1 species